UACGUAGGGGGCAAGCGUUGUCCGGAUUUAUUGGGCGUAAAGAGCGUGUAGGCGGCUAGGUAGGUCCGUUGUGAAAACUCGAGGCUCAACCUCGAGACGUCGAUGGAAACCAUCUAGCUAGAGUCCGGAAGAGGAGAGUGGAAUUCCUGGUGUAGCGGUGAAAUGCGCAGAUAUCAGGAAGAACAUCCGUGGCGAAGGCGGCUCUCUGGUACGUGACUGACGCUGAGACGCGAAAGCGUGGGGAGCAAACAGG
rnacentral:rRNA from 1 species